GAGAGCUUGACAUCUGGGGGAGCUGGCAGUGGGGGACGGGGCUGGGGGCGAUGCCUCUGACGGCCACUGAGCACCUACCAUGCUCUGGAGGAAACUCCCUCCACAUGACCUGACCCUCCGAGGGCCCAGGCAGCUUGACCAGCCCGUGUUCCGGGGCCAACGACCACGACCAACGUGAAGGCCAUCAACACGCCUCCUGCCUGGGUCUGGAUGCGCUGUGGUCCAGACCGAGAGAAAGAGGAAGCUGCGGGCGGGCAGACAGGCAGGUGUCACCGCGUGCCCUCUGUUUUAUGGAAAGGCUGAAGAUCUCACAAAAGCAGAGACCACCAGCAGCUCCAAGCUUACACACACCUGCGCCCCUCCUCCGCACUUCCCGGGGAAGGAUAACCAGAUUGGAGAUGUGUCCAGAGAAGGCCAGGCCACCAAGGUCUCUCUUGUCUUCUUGCCAAACAAGCACCGCCAGGGAGAAGAAAGGGACAGAACUUAAAAUGAUGAGAGCCCG